GCGGGGCGCUGGGCGCGUUCUUUUACGUCGGGACUCGGUAGUCGUUUCUUGGUGGUCGGAACAAUGGCUCUCGGUGUAACGGAAUUGUUACGUGAAGAUGCAAAGAUGCAAAGGAAAAUUCCAAAACGUGGGAAGAUAUUUGCUGGAAACUAUUUGGUUAAAACCUGACGAACUUACCAGCAUCCUGGGGGUUGAUGAAUACAAACGAAGCUAUGGAUGUCACUGAUUAGCAGCUUCAUUUUGAAUGAGGGGUCGCUGUCUGCCCAUUGAAAGAGGCCAGUCUUCUGUGGCGUACCCAAGCUGAAACCAUUUCUGGCUAGUGCUACAAGAUUUACUUAUCUGUUGUGUGGAAAACUGGUGGACAGGAAAAGCUCUUCAAUUUAUGGACAUGGAAAGAAAACAUACAGAUCAAGAUGGAUUGUAUUUAUUUUUAUUUUGCAAAUAGAUUCUGAACCAACAUCAAAUCUAAAUUAAUGUAUCCAUAGGAUUCAAGCCUAUGGUUUCUACUUUAUCAUGUCACAUUGCACUAGAGUCACAACUUAUUAACCAGUAGAUUACUUCCUAGAUCUAUUUCUAGGAAUGCAUAGCAAACUAAGUAUUUUCAGUUAACUAGCCUUGUGAUUAAAUUACUCUGAAUGAGUGUCUUACCUUUAGUCACCUGUUUUGAAUUUAAAACGCAUAAUUAUAAAGCUGAGUGAAAGUUUAUGCCCACCAUUUAAUGGUGACAGCAAAGUGGAAAAACAGGUCCUAUUACUUGGGGAGGGGGAAGGAUACCAGGCAUCAAAAGUAUUGCUCUGAUUAUUAACUAAAUCAUAGAAUAUUUAGUCCUAAUGUAAUUGUGAUUUGAAAGUGCAUGUUUAAGAUAAAAUGGAGAGUAAUAAUACUGAAAUGAAUGGAGUGUAGCAUGGCAUUAAGAGUCACAAGGAAGGUCACUGAAAAUCUGAGUUAGAACUAGUCAAACACUGCCCAGAAUGGAUUUAGUAUAAACAGUAAUAGCAUCUGAUAUAACCAAGAUGAUUAGUUCCCAUUGAUGAUCAUUUUCCCUAAAUAGCUGCAUGAAUAAGUUGUUCCCAGGCCUGUAUUUAGAUGUCAUAGCCAAAUUCCAAGUUAUUUUCUUCAUGAGCUGUCAUCUUUUUCCUAAAAUGUUUGCUUUCCUGCCUUGGUGAGAAGAAUUUGAUUUUGGACCCAUGCAGCUCAGAAGAAGCUCAUGAGACUGACAAGCCUGUAUGUAAGCGGCCAGGUACAUAGUGAAUUUGUACCAAGUAGUAAGACUGUAUAAAAUGGAUAUCUGGAAAUGUUUUUCACACUCAUUAAAAUACAAAGGAUCGGUGUCAUAAAGAUUAAAGAACUUAGUAUUUGGGGUAUCUGCACAUCGUUAAACUAGGCACAAGGAAGUCCACAGUGGCCAUACACAUGUUCAGUAUAUUUUUAGGAAAGUGAACCUCAGCAGGUACUUUGUGGGAAAUUAAGGGGCCUUAAGGCUUGUUACAGUGAAAAUUAGCAUAAAACAUGAUGCAUGUGAGAAAUGAGAAAAACUAGGGCCUUAGACAAAACCUUUGAGGUACAAUGCUCUUUCAGGUAAGGAUUCAAUGAGAUCGUGUACAUAAAAUGCAGAAAACAACAAUCUUGACUAUUACAGCUCUUAUAUUUCCUCUUGAAGCUAUAAAAUCAACAAACCACUUCCAAGUAGCAUUGUGUUAGUCAUCUUAGUUGCAUUUCUUUAUCAUAUGUAGACAUGAGUAGACCGUGUUUGACAUUGCAACCUGCACCCUUGAUCCUCCUCGCCCUUUAUUUGGAACUUUUUAAUAUGCUUUUUAAACAUGCCUGGGUACCUUAACUACCUGGUAGUGCACUUGGUUGUACAGUAGUAAAUGGUAAGUUAACAAUGAAUGAUAAAUGACUAAUUGAGGUCCUGCACAAAACUUUGAGACAAGUGUCUACACUUUGUCAGAGCUGGCAAACAACUUCACAGCAAGGCAAAGUUGUGAAAUAGGCAAAAUAAGCCCUCUGACCUUUUCCUGCAGUUCUAUUUUUGCUCCUUUGCUGCCCAAUUGUUCUUGUACUGUAAUAUUUCCUUAAUAUAAUCCAAAUCAAAUUGGUAAUGCGCAUUUACUUUAUUUCACUACUAGGUUCUGCCACUUAGGUCAGACGUAGAAUACUUCUGUGUCUGUCAGUAGUGGUAUCAGGUGCCAAGAAAUGUCAAAAGCAAGCUAUAGAGAUACAAAGUACCAUCAAAGAGAAAUAAUUAAAACCUCUAAAGAUUGAGCAAGCGAACUUGAGUCAAAACUAACUCCAAUGUAGGGAUGAUUUAGGCAUAAGAAGCAGCAAAGAUGGUCCAGAACCUGAGGGUGACAUACCCUUACUAAUGUUUGAGCAAGGGAAUUAGAGCAGUAAAAAGUUUCUUGAAUUUCCUAAAACAUUUUCAGUAGAAGGUGCAUAGUCAUUUAGUCCUGUUGAGUGCAAAAAGGUACAAUUUUAGUGGAAUUGAACUUGAAAGUUCAAUGUAUGUCAGCUUUAAUUAAAAUUACUAGUUGAUUUUAAACCUUUA